AUUGGAACCAGCAAACUAUCCCUAAUGACUGGAAAAUGUGAAAAGCCAAGGAGAUGCUAAGAUGCUGAGAUGUUAGGGCAAAGUCUGCCCCAACCGAAAAUCUCUCUUGUCUGUACCCUGGAAAGGAAGGAUUGCUCAUUGGUAGAGUUACAAGAUAGAAGGAGUUUCUGUCUAAAAGAGAAUGACCCAAGAAACCGACAUUGGCAGCAUGACAGCAUAGUGUGAGCAAGAACUAAAGCAGCUUUGAUUUGAUGAGCAAGAAGCCACAUGCAUAAGGGAAAGAAGGUGAGAUCCUGCGGUCACAGAGGAUCUUCGUGUCGGCUCAAGGGUCAG